CUCAAUCUCCUGACCUUGUGAUCCGCCCACCUUGGCCUCCCAAAGUGCUGGUAUUACAGGCGUGAGCCACCGCGCCUGGCCUUAUGUGUUAGUCAGUGGGAGGCAGAGGUUGCAGUGAGCUGAGAUGGCACCACUGCACUCCAGCCUGGGCAAUUAUCAGUGUCUUAGACCUUUAACUUUUGGGGCGUCUUCCUAUGUCGCAUGUUGCCCAGGCUGGUCUUGAACUCCUGAGCUUAAGGGAUCCACCCACCUCAGCACCCCCCACGCACCUUGUUUCAGUAUGUCUUUACUUCAAACCAUGGUCCUGUUGUUCCCUGGGGACAUGUGGCACCUGGCCAACAUGGCAAAACCCUGUCUCUGCUAAUAGCCACUGUGCCCAGCCCAAGUUAAUCAACUAUGAAGAGAAAAAUAAAAUCACAUAAUCUUGGUUGUUCAGCCUCUCAUAAGAAAGCCAAAUUGUUUUUUGCUUUUCCAUGUUGUUUACUUGUAUUUCUGAAUUGUAGAGUCAAAGGAGAAGUUCAGAGUCCCAUCAGCAAUGCACCUGUCAUACAGGAAGAUCUCAUCAUGUCCUGUAACACCAGAUACCAUUUUCAGUCUUUUCUCUCUUUCUCCUGCAGGGCUACACCAAGUCCAUUGAUAUUUGGUCUGUAGGCUGCAUUCUGGCAGAAAUGCUUUCUAACAGGCCCAUCUUUCCAGGGAAGCAUUAUCUUGACCAGCUGAGUUUUUUCUUAGGCUUAGCUUCCGGCUCACUGCAACCUCCUCCUCCCGGGUUCAAGCGAUUCUUCAUGUCAUGUUAAUGGAAUCAUGUAGUAUGUAGCCUUUUUAUGUCUAGAUUCUCCCAUUCAGCAUAAUGCAUUUGAGAUUUAUAAAAAUCCAUGUCAUUGUUUGUGUCAGUCUCUUCAGCAAAUGGUGCUGGAACAAUUAGACACCCAUAUGAUACCACCUAAGCAUGUUAUCUAAAUGUUACUAAAUGUUAUUCUCAAGAGAUUAAAAAACUUACAAGCUAGAAUUUUUAAUGAGAGUUCACAGAAAAGGAAGAUGAAACAGCUCUUAAAUAUAUAAAAGGUACUCAUGUUUACUCAUUAUACAAGAUACAAACAUUGAAAAGUCAGUAAUUCUUUUUUUUUUUUAACGCCCUCCUCAACAGAGUAGCAGACAUCAAAGUUUGACACCCUACUGUGUGGUCAAGGCUGUGGGGAAAAGGGUGUUUUCGGAGAGAGCUGGUGGAGUGUAAACUGGUUGAGUCUCUGUAGAGGACAGUCUGGCAAUUCUGUCACAUGUCUUUUGUUCCAGCAAUUCUGGGUAUUGAACUUUUAGGUCUGCCAACCAAAUGGGGGAGUGGCAUUUAAUUUGUUUUUCUGUAAUUAAGAGUGAGAUUGAAAUUUUUUCAUGUUUGUUGGAAAUUUUUGAUUGCUGUAUCCCUUAAACCGACACUAUUGUAGAUUUUUCUUUAAAGGAGUCUUAGCUUACGAUUCUCUCAAAUGACUUCAGUGAGGGAGAAGAAAUUAUUAUUCAGCAGAUGGUACUGGGCUAGUUGAAUAGCUAUUUGGAGGAAAAUCAAUUUAAAUCAUUACACAUCAAAAUGAAUUCUAAAAGAAUUGAUACUUAUUUAAAAUUUAUAUCAUGAGAAACUAACAAUAGAGUAUUCAGUAUUUUUCUGAUCUCUGCAUGGAGAAAGACUUCCUAUGU
rnacentral:lncRNA from 10 species